GACAGAGGUGCCAAGCGUUAGGCGGAAUCACUGGGCUUAAAGCGUGUGUAGGUGGACUGGUAAGUACCUUGUGAAAUCCCACGGCUUAACCGUGGAACUGCUUGGUAUACUGCUGGUCUUGAGCAACCUAGGGGCGAGUGGAACAAAUGGUGGAGCGGUGAAAUGCGUAGAUAUCAUUUGGAACGCCAAUGGUGAAAACAACUCGCUGGGGGUUUGCUGACACUGAGACACGAAAGCCAGGGGAGCAAACGG
rnacentral:rRNA from 1 species